CCUACGGGAGGCAGCAGUGGGGAAUUUUGGACAAUGGGCGAAAGCCUGAUCCAGCAAUGCCGCGUGUGUGAAGAAGGCCUUCGGGUUGUAAAGCACUUUUGUCCGGAAAGAAAUCCUUGACUCUAAUACAGUCGGGGGAUGACGGUACCGGAAGAAUAAGCACCGGCUAACUACGUGCCAGCAGCCGCGGUAAUACGUAGGGUGCGAGCGUUAAUCGGAAUUACUGGGCGUAAAGCGUGCGCAGGCGGUUUGCUAAGACCGAUGUGAAAUCCCCGGGCUCAACCUGGGAACUGCAUUGGUGACUGGCAGGCUAGAGUAUGGCAGAGGGGGGUAGAAUUCCACGUGUAGCAGUGAAAUGCGUAGAGAUGUGGAGGAAUACCGAUGGCGAAGGCAGCCCCCUGGGCCAAUACUGACGCUCAUGCACGAAAGCGUGGGGAGCAAACAGGAUUAGAUACCCUGGUAGUCCACGCCCUAAACGAUGUCAACUAGUUGUUGGGGAUUCAUUUCCUUAGUAACGUAGCUAACGCGUGAAGUUGACCGCCUGGGGAGUACGGUCGCAAGNUUAAACUAAAUGAAUUGACCGGNUGAGAGNGCGACGACGACGACGAGGAGGAGG
rnacentral:rRNA from 1 species